rnacentral:piRNA from 1 species
CCCCAGUGAGACUUUCUGGCUGUUCCUUUU